UUGUGCGAAGAAUACAAUAAAACAAGGAGGACUCUUAUGAGAACAAAGACGUUUCCACUUUUUUUCCUUUUCUUCAUUUUAGUCUAAAUUGUAAACUAAAAGAUAAAAAUUGUUUUUCGUAAAAUAAUAAUUUUUAGCUUUCAUGCCGUUUGGAAGUUUUAGCUGUAAAUAUCCGUAAAGAUCUGGUUAUCCUUUUUCAUCAUUUUUUUUUUUUUUUUUUUUUAUUUUAUAUUCAAAUAUCAUUUCCGUCAAUUGGUCCAAUUGAUCUAAUUUUUAAUAAUCAUCGACGAAGAGAUAUGUAAAGAAUUGUCAGCUUUUGUAAAUUGUUGUAAAAAAAAAAAAAA